rnacentral:rRNA from 1 species
GACGAACGCUGGCGGCGUGCUUAACACAUGCAAGUCGAACGAAAAAUCAUUGAAAGCUUGCUGAUAUGAUUUUUAGUGGCGGACGGGUGAGUAACGCGUGAGGACUUGUCCAAUACAGGGGGACAACAGUUGGAAACGACUGCUAAUACCCAAUAAGCCUUAGGGUAAAAGGAGCAAUCCGGUAUUGGAGAGACUCGCGUCCUAUCAGCUAGGAGGUGAGGUAACGGCUCACCUAGGCGAAGACGGGUAGCAGGCCUGAGAGGGCGAACGGCCACACUGGAACUGAGACACGCUCCAGACUCCUACGGGAGGCAGCAGUGGGGAAUAUUGGGCAAUGGAGGCAACCCUGACCCUGCUGCGCCGCGUGAGUGAAGAAAUCCCUCGGGAUGUAAAGCUCUGUUGUGUGGGAAGAUAUUGACGGUACCUUACGAAUAAGAGGCUCCUAAUCUCGUGCCAGCCGCCGCAGUAAUAC